UUGCGAAACCGCCCACACGGACGGUCGGCCAGGCGUGGUUGCCCGGCCCUGAAGAGCAGCCAAAC
rnacentral:hammerhead_ribozyme from 2 species